rnacentral:tRNA from 1 species
GGAGAGGUGGCUGAGUGGCCGAAAGCACCGGUUUGCUAAACCGACGUACGCCUUUAAAGUGUACCGAGGGUUCGAAUCCCUCCCUCUCCG